GCCUGAAGGACAGCUCAGUCUGCAGAGUAUGAGAGUCGUAACCUCAAAGUCAUGGGUUCGAGCCCCACAUGGGGCA